rnacentral:rRNA from 1 species
UAUGUGAUCGUCUCUCGCAUAUCAAUAAGCGGAGGAAAAGAAACUAACUAAGGAUUCCCUUAGUAACGGCGAGUGAAGCGGGAAGAGCUCAAAUUUGAAAUCUUAAAGGGUUUCCCUUUACGAAUUGUAGUUUAAAGAAGUGUUUUCUGUUGAGGUUUUGGUAAAAGUUCUUUGGAAUAGGACAUCAUAGAGGGUGAGAAUCCCGUAUUUGACCUUUACUUUCAACUUUGUGAUACACUUUCAAAGAGUCGGAUUGUUUGGGAAUGCAGUCCAAAAUGGGUGGUAAAUUUCAUCUAAAGCUAAAUAUUGGCGAGAGACCGAUAGCGAACAAGUACCGUGAGGGAAAGAUGAAAAGAACUUUGAAAAGAGAGUUAAACAGUACGUGAAAUUGUCAAAAGGGAAGCGUUUGACACCAGUGUUGUUUUUCUGAAAAUCAAUUAAAGAACUGUUUAUGCUAAGCAUGUUUAGACUUUAUCAGCUAUCUGUUUAGUUUUGAGCUUUUCUUUAAUGCACUUUUCAGUUAACAAGUCAACAUCAAUUUCUUUUGCUGUAAAAAAGCUUGAGGAAGGUGGCUUGAGAUUCGUCUUAAGUGUUUAUAGCCUCUUGCCUAUGCAGUCGGAGAGAUUGAGGUCUGCAGCGUAGAUCCUUCGGGGCUAAAUGCAUUUGUGCUAAGUUAUAGCAUUUUAUAGACAACUUGUUGACUAUGAUUUGUCUUGUAGCUUACUCGCUUAUGUUAUUUUACCUACGCUUAGGAUGUUGAACGCGCACAGAGUCUC